AUGAAUACCAUUCCACCCAGGAGGCCACUAGAAAAUAUGAAUACCAUUCCACCUAGGAGGCCACUAGAAAAUAUGAAUACCAUUCCACCCAGGAGGCCACUAGAAAAUAUGAAUACCAUUCCACCCAGGAGGCCACAAGAAAAUAUGAAUACCAUUCCACCCAGGAGGCCACUAGAAAAUAUGAAUACCAUUCCACCCAGGAGGCCACUAGAAAAUAUGAAUACCAUUCCACCCAGGAGGCCACUAGAAAAUAUGAAUACCAUUCCACCUAGGAGGUCACUAGAAAAUAUGAAUACCAUUCCACCCAGGAGGCCACUAGAAAAUAUGAAUACCAUUCCACCCAGGAGGCCACUAGAAAAUAUGAAUACCAUUCCACCCAGGAGGCCACUAGAAAAUAUGAAUACCAUUCCACCCAGGAGGCCACUAGAAAAUAUGAAUACCAUUCCACCCAGGAGGCCACUAGAAAAUAUGAAUACCAUUCCACCCAGGAGGCCACUAGAAAAUAUGAAUACCAUUCCACCCAGGAGGCCACUAGAAAAUAUGAAUACCAUUCCACCCAGGAGGCCACUAGAAAAUAUGAAUACCAUUCCACCCAGGAGGCCACUAGAAAAUAUGAAUACCAUUCCACCCAGGAGGCCACUAGAAAAUAUGAAUACCAUUCCACCCAGGAGGCCACUAGAAAAUAUGAAUACCAUUCCACCCAGGAGGCCACUAGAAAAUAUGAAUACCAUUCCACCCAGGAGGCCACUAGAAAAUAUGAAUACCAUUCCACCCAGGAGGCCACUAGAAAAUAUGAAUACCAUUCCACCCAGGAGGCCACUAGAAAAUAUGAAUACCAUUCCACCCAGGAGGCCACUAGAAAAUAUGAAUACCAUUCCACCCAGGAGGCCACUAGAAAAUAUGAAUACCAUUCCACCCAGGAGGCCACUAGAAAAUAUGAAUACCAUUCCACCCAGGAGGCCACUAGAAAAUAUGAAUACCAUUCCACCCAGGAGGCCACUAGAAAAUAUGAAUACCAUUCCACCCAGGAGGCCACUAGAAAAUAUGAAUACCAUUCCACCCAGGAGGCCACUAGAAAAUAUGAAUACCAUUCCACCCAGGAGGCCACUAGAAAAUAUGAAUUCCAUUCCACCUAGGAGGCCACUAGAAAAUAUGAAUACCAUUUCACCCAGGAGGCCACUAGAAAAUAUGAAUACCAUUCCACCCAGGAGGCCACUAGAAAAUAUGAAUACCAUUCCACCCAGGAGGCCACUAGAAAAUAUGAAUACCAUUCCACCCAGGAGGCCACUAGAAAAUAUGAAUACCAUUCCACCCAGGAGGCCACUAGAAAAUAUGAAUACCAUUCCACCCAGGAGGCCACUAGAAAAUAUGAAUACCAUUCCACCCAGGAGGCCACUAGAAAAUAUGAAUAACAUUCCACCCAGGAGGCCACUAGAAAAUAUGAAUACCAUUCCACCCAGGAGGCCACUAGAAAAUAUGAAUACCAUUCCACCCAGGAGGCCACUAGAAAAUAUGAAUACCAUUCCACCCAGGAGGCCACUAGAAAAUAUGAAUACCAUUCCACCCAGGAGGCCACUAGAAAAUAUGAAUACCAUUCCACCUAGGAGGCCACUAGAAAAUAUGAAUACCAUUCCACCCAGGAGGUCACUAGAAAAUAUGAAUACCAUUCCACCCAGGAGGUCACUAGAAAAUAUGAAUACCAUUCCACCCAGGAGGCCACUAGAAAAUAUGAAUACCAUUCCACCCAGGAGGCCACUAGAAAAUAUGAAUACCAUUCCACCCAGGAGGCCACUAGAAAAUAUGAAUACCAUUCCACCCAGGAGGCCACUAGAAAAUAUGAAUACCAUUCCACCCAGGAGGCCACUAGAAAAUAUGAAUACCAUUCCACCCAGGAGGCCACUAGAAAAUAUGAAUACCAUUCCACCCAGGAGGCCACUAGAAAAUAUGAAUACCAUUCCACCCAGGAGGCCACUAGAAAAUAUGAAUACCAUUCCACCCAGGAGGCCACUAGAAAAUAUGAAUACCAUUCCACCCAGGAGGCCACUAGAAAAUAUGAAUACCAUUCCACCCAGGAGGUCACUAGAAAAUAUGAAUACCAUUCCACCCAGGAGGCCACUAGAAAAUAUGAAUACCAUUCCACCCAGGAGGUCACUAGAAAAUAUGAAUACCAUUCCACCCAGGAGGCCACUAGAAAAUAUGAAUACCAUUCCACCCAGGAGGCCACUAGAAAAUAUGAAUACCAUUCCACCCAGGAGGCCACUAGAAAAUAUGAAUACCAUUCCACCCAGGAGGUCACUAGAAAAUAUGAAUACCAUUCCACCCAGGAGGCCACUAGAAAAUAUGAAUACCAUUCCACCCAGGAAGUCACUAGAGGGCGAUUUGCUAAAAGAUGAUUUUAUUUUGUUUGAUUUUAUUGAAAAUAAUCUUUAG
ensembl:lncRNA